rnacentral:lncRNA from 1 species
UGAAGUGAUAAAUGAUUCGUAUGAUUGAUAUUGGAUAAGAAUAUAUGGAUUAUAGUUAUUGGAUUUUGUUGGUUGAUUAAUGAUUGAGAUAGGAUAAUAGGUGGAUAGUCUUAUACAUAGACGAGACGAUGUCGGAUUUUCGAUAAGGAUUUAUAUGAUAAUUGAUUGGUGAUAUGUUAUGUGGAAUAUGAUUGACUAUAUGUUAGAGUCAAAGCAUGCUUAUGUGUUACGUGGUAUCUGAUAAGUUUAAAGGGGUAUAUAAGUGGGUAUCGGUAUACGUGAUAUGUAUAUGCGAUAUAUUGUUUAGUGACUAUAGUAUUAUCUUAUUCUCGUAAAGGAUUUGGACGAGACGUGUACGCUCGAAGACGUCAGGAAGUCGAAAUGGUAUUGCAAAGCGAAUAAGGGAUGAAUCGAGUAAGCGAAGCGAAGAUGUACGGUAGAUAGAGUAUAGCCAGAGAUGGUCUAGAGACUAUGAGAUGCAUAGAUUGUGAAAGUGGAAAGAUGAGAUUGAGAUGUGAGACUGGAGUCAGAUUUAAGGCAAGUAUCCUAAACCUUUCUCUUGGAUAUAUUGCAAAUAUUCUGAUCCAUUCCUUUGGUAUAUGUUUCAAGUAUUCAUACCUUUCUUUUCAAUGUUCGAAAGUGCGAGUAUUCUGACCCAUUCUUUCUAAUCUUCAAGUUUCUAAAGAAUUUCCGUUUUACAAAUUAAUUCGAAGUUCAGAUUGUCAUUGAAGCAUGUGUUGCUCAGUGAUAGUUAGAGCUUUGAAUGAAUUGGGAUCUUCUUGAUUAUUCAACCCGCCAUUGUCAUGCUGGUUUAGCAGGCUAAAUUCAGUUGCUUAGCCGAUAAUGGAGGAUACUGAAUAGUUGAGGAUUUCCUGAACUGUGAUUUAUGAAAUGAUGGAUCAUGAUUUAUGAAUAGAUUAUUAUCAAAGUUUGAAUUGGAAUUAUUCUGUUGUUGAUGAUAUUUAUGAUGAUGUUCUGUUAAUUUACAUUGGCUUCUUGAAUUGAAUUAGAGAAUUGGAUUAUUGUUUUUAUAUAAACCUGUGGACCAGAUUCGUGGUCAUGUUAGGCCAAUGAGUGCCUUGGAUCCAGUGAUAGAGCAUGGCGGGGCCUGCUCGGGGUUAGUGCGGAACUGAUCAGCUGCCUAACCUUGGUUUUAAUUAAAAUGUGAUAGUCCAAUUCAAUAAUUCUUUGGAAAGAUUGAAUUUCUCAGUUUAAAUGCUGCAAGGUAUUGUAAAUCAUUCUAUACAAUACCAUGAACUCAUGAACUCAUGUUGAAUCCUUUUAUAUCUUGAACUCGUGAACUUCUAUUAUAUCAUUUCAGAACUAUCAUUGUUUAUUAUUACUUGCUGAGCAUUGUUGCUCACCCUUGCUAUUCCUUUCUAACCAUUUCAGAAAGGCUUAAAGAUGAGAUGAUUGAUUGAGAUUGUGAGUAAGGCUAAUGCUAGGCGAGGAGACAGAGUUGAGGAUCCAGUGGUCGAGGAGUGUUCAGGAAAGUUGAUGAGGUUGGUGCAAGCUGGAAUAGUUGACAGUGAUUCUUCUUAUCGAAGAUGAUCUGAUUUGGUAAGAGAUGUUGUGUAAUAAUAGUGGUAGAUUCUAAUUUCAAUACUGUAACCUGGAUGCGAUCCUGUUGCUUUUAGGGGGUUUAAAUGUUCUCUUUCGAAUCAUUUAUUAAAGUUUAAAUGUUCUCUUGAAAUUCUCCUAUUAUGGCUUUCAAGUUUGAAAUUCAGGUUUUGAAAUCAUUCGAUUUAUGUUCUCAUUCAAAUCUUUUAUUAAAUGUUUUCAGGUUUUAAAUUCUUUGAUUUCAUUAUAAAAAAAAAAAAAAAUUUAGGUUUUCGAAAGUGUUUUAAAAAGGUUUUUAUGUGGUGACGUCAGAAUCCAGGCCCCCGGAUUCCUGGACCGUCACAGUUGGUAUCAGAGCCACAGGUUAUAAGUAUUUGAAAUUAGAAUAUAGAUCAUAGUUAUAGGUUUUCUAGAGAAGAAUAUUGUGUGACCUCGUACAGAGGUAUUAUUAGACUAUUUAGAAAUAGUCUAGAGAUGUGAUAGAGGUAUAGAAUCUAGUUAGACGAUCAAGUUGAGUGUAUAAGGUUAGAGAGAUUUUGAUUCCUAAGUUAGACAUAUGAUUUCUAGUAUGUUGACUCAUUGAGAUGUUGAAUUGUGAGGAAGGUCAAGAUUAGACCUAGAUAGAAGAGUUUGAUAGUGAAUGAUUGAGUUAAGAAUGGUGAAGAUGCAGAGUUCAGAGUAUUCUGACUAUACUGCAUAGUUGAGAAUGGUCUAUGGUAUUGAUUUGAGAAUGAUAAAGAUGCAUGGUUCAUAGUAUGUUGACCAUGUCAGAUGUUUGGAAGAAGUAUAUUGUUUUUGUGAGAUAUUGAAGAAGGAGUGUAAGAUAUGAGUUAUGUUGGAUUAGAAGGGGGAUUUGUAGAUAGAGGUUGAUAGAUGAGAAGUGAAUGAUAAAAAGUAUGUGGAAUUGAGUGUAGUUAUUAGGGGAGAUGUCGGUGAGUAAUUUAGAACGUUAAUCCUCGACGACAACGCUUUAAGCUAAUCGGGACUUCAAACGACAUCAAGGUGGGCCCAUAACCCACAAGUUGAUGAUCCAGACAAUCGAAGAUACGCUACGUGUUGUGCUAUGGAAUUCAAAGGCAACUGGAUGAAACAUGAGAACGUGAACUAUUUGGGCCAGACUUAUUACGAACUAUAACGUCUACGAUGACAUCUUACGAGGCUAUUACGAGUCAACAUCGAUUGAUUAUCAAGAACGUUGAAAAGAAGACAUACGACGGACAAUGAUUUAUUGAAGCAGAGCGAAAAUCUGAGAAGACCUGGGCAAUACCUCUCUUCAACUAAAAGUUCUUUUGAUUCUUUUCUCAUUAGUGAGAUAUUAUCAUGAUAUCCUUUCGACCAAAGUUUCGAUAAAGGAGAUUUUCAAUUUCUCAAAUUCUAAGAUGAUAAUGAUAUUGAUUAUUGGUGUGAGUUAGUAUUGAAUCGGUGUAUGAUAAAGACGUGUUUAUGAAGAGACAGUGGAAUUCCUUGAUAUUAUUUGAUAUUCUUUGAUAUCCUUUGAUAUUCAUCCAUAUUCUUUGAUGUCCCUUAAUAUUCGUCGAUAUUCUUUGACACUCCUUGAUAUUCCUUGAUAUCUUUUUGAUAUUCCUUAAUAUAUUCCUCGAUAAUCCUUAACAUUCCUUGAUGCUCCUUGAGAUUUCUUGGAUUCUUUCCAUCUGAUUGGGAUGAACAACCCUAUGAAUAGGGGACACAAGGUAUACCUGUCUGUGUGAUAGGAGUUGGAUGGGACGCCAUCACUUGUGUGUGUUGUGAUUACAAGAAGGUUAACAACCUUUAGUAGUGUCUAAUAUGGACACGCAACAUUAAGUUCAUUUGAUCGUAUUGAUCUCCCAGUCACUCUUGUAUUCCAAUGUGACCUAUUUUGAAAAUAUCUUGUUCCUCCGAAAUUCCCAAAGAUUGAUUCUUGGGAAAUGAAGUUUGCAAUUGUGAAGGUGUUGAUUUUCCUAUUUCUUUAACUUUGAAGGUAUGCCAAAGUUGAUCAAAGGCGGAUGAGCAUGUGAUAUUAUGAAGCGUGUACCACGAUCUUAUAAAUGAUACGUUUUAGUUUCUUCGGAGGAUUCCGAGGACGGAAUCCUUAUAAGGGGGGUAGAAUGUAAUAUCCCAUAUUUUUAAAUUUAGAUUUGAUUGUUAUAAAUCUAUCUGUCUAAAUAUUAUUGUUGGCUUUAGUUGAAAAGUGAAUUGAUUAUGUGAAUAGUUUUAUAUGAUUAUACUUGUUUUGUGGAUUAAUAUGGAUUUUACAAAUAUUGCGUCCUCCUUCUUUCUCUGAUUCCGAGGACGGAAUCCCUAUAAGGAGGGUAGAUUGUAAUAACCCGGAUUUUAAAAAUAUCUUUAUUAAUAUUAUAAAUGAUUUUCUUAAAAAGUAAGGAAUAAGAUUUAAUAUUUUAUUCCAGUUUAAGGAGUUUUCAAGGUUUUAUAUUUAAACCCCGGGUUAUUGUGUUAUUGAUAAAUAAUUGUAUUUUCAAAAGUGAUUUUCAUAUAUUGUUUCGAAAAUUCUGUAUGAAUAUUAUGUGAAUAUAUGUGUGAUGUGAGUAAGUGGUAUUGGUGGAUUUGUUGGUUAAUUAAUUAUGGUUAAUUAUGAGUAUUAUAUGAUUAAUAUAUGAAUUUUUGUGAAUUUUAUAUUAUCUGGUUUAUUGCGUUAACUGCUCAUAUGUGUUCGUAUUUGAGAGAUUUCAAUUUCUAUAUGCUCAGGAGAAAAUAUAGUUUAUUUGGAUAUUUUCAUAUCGAUUUAUGGAAUGUUAGAUGAUUUUAUAAUCGAUUUACGGAUUUAAUUGCGUAUAUUUAUAUUUAUUUAUUAAUUAUUUGACUUCCGUAAAACCGUCCACUCGUAACGAGGUAGCAAAUUUUCUUCCCGGAAGUUUCAACAAAACUGACCUUUAGCCUAAUUUGAAUAUUCCGGACACUUUUCGUGUUUUGACUUUUUCGAUCCGGAGUACGGUUUUCCCCGGAGUCGGUCCGGCGGAGUUUUUCGGGUAUUUUAAUUGUUGAUAAUUAUCCAGUUUGUCUCGAUAAGCGUGAAACGAGAUAUUUUGAUUAUUAUAUUCAUCCUUAUCUUGUAAUAAUUGCAAUGGGACCCGCAGACCAAUAAUUGAGUUAAAAAGCCCCGUUUUGAUGAUUAUCUCGAAAACCAGUACCGAUUGGACCCCGCUUUAUUAAUAUAAAGCUAUUAAAUACGUAUUUUCAUGUCAUAAACGAUCCAAAGGGGUACCAAUUAUUUGUAAAUAUAAAUAGACCUUUCUAGAGCUUAUUUUCACCCGUAAAAUCAUUUCACCAGUUUCUCUGCACGAAUACCGAGAGAAACCGAGCGGUGUUCUUCGUGUUCUUCAUAAUCAAACGAAGAUUUGAAGGUGUUAUUGGAGUCAGAAUCAAGCGUGCGAAUAGUCAAAUCGAAGAUAUCGAAGAGUAGAACCCAAAUCAAUCAUCAAAAACAACAUGAGAUUCACAGGUAGGGAGUAAUUGAAGUUUUAAAAUUCGAAUUAUUAUGAUUUAAAUAGUGAAUUUUUGCAAACGUGUUUGUUUGAUUGUUUGGAUGAUUCCAUGUUGUAGAACGUGUUUUUCUCGUCGUUUUGGUAUAUUAUAUGUUGAAUUUUGAGUUCGGAAACAUAUAGAAAAGUCCGUUUGAUUAUGUGGUUGUGUUCUUGAGUGUUCUUGAACUUUCGCCGGAAAGUUAUGAUUUUUGGUCGGAAAAUCGUUCUGUAGAGUAUGAAUUGUUUCUAAAGUCAUGUAUAAGAUCCUGGUGAUGUGUAGAGUCGAUUUAUAGGUUUGAUUUCAGUGUGGGAUAAGGAUUUGGGGCUCGCCGGAUAGUGGUGGCGGCGGUUUUUGACGGAUUUUUCCGGCCAGUUGGCUGCGUUUUUGGUGAAAACAAGGUGCUACAAUGAUUCCUGGUAUAAUAUACUCGUGAUCUGGAGAGUUUUGAAUGUUUCUGGGCUUGGGAAAGGUGGUGCCGGCAUCGUUCCGGCGGAUCUGGGGCCGGCAGUGGCAAAUUGCCAUUUGACCCCCAGAGUUUGGAAGAUGAUGAAGAGGUGACACUGUAGUUUCUGUUUUGACGGUUCAGCCCCUGUAACUUUUGAAAGUUACACUUUAAACCCUGUCAGAAAACUUUCAAAACUAUACACUUUAAACCUUUUGAUUUUAAUUUUCAAAAAUUGUUUUAUUUAAUUAUUUUAAAUUCCAAAAAUAGUUUUUAAUUAUUUCUUUAUUCAAAAAUAAAUCUAAAUUAGUUUGUUAAUUAAUUUUAAUUAGUAAUUAAUUAUUUUAAUUAGUCAAUUAAUUUAAAUAUUAAUUGAUUAAUUAUUUUAAUUAAUUAUUAAUUGAUUUUAAUUGAUUAAUUAAUUGGAUUUAAUUAAUCCUUUUUGAUUUAAAAAUUCCGAAAAAUAGUUUCGAGCUUUAAAAUAUUUUUCCAAAUUAUUUUCAAGGCUCGAUAAUUGUUUAUGAAUGAUUUCAAGUCCAAUUUCAAGUAUUUGGGACUUGAUUAUUUAUCCGAAAAGUGAUUCUUUUAUCGAUUUUAAUUCCGAAAAAUGUUUAAAAAUUCCAGAAAAUUCCCGAAAAAUCAUUUUUAACCCAAGACUUGAUUUAAUAUCAAUUGGGAUGGGAAACCUUAUGUGUUGUGUGUUGUCUGCUAUUGGUUGGAUGUGUUAUGUGCCGAUAGGAGAGUGAGAAAACUGUUUUGAGCAUAACUUUUGAUCCGUAAGUCGGAAUCAAGUGAAACGAAAGAGAGACAGAAGCUUAUAACGUCUAUUUUAAUAUGAUGUGACUAUAUGGCUGAGUCUAUAAGGUGAAUAAUUGUUGAUAAGUAUGCAUAAUGUGAUAAUAUGUGAUCUAAGUGCUAUCAAGUGAUGAUUAUGUGAAGUACGUGUUAGUUUUGAUAUUGUGAAGUGAUAAAUGAUUCGUAUGAUUGAUAUUGGAUAAGAAUAUAUGGAUUAUAGUUAUUGGAUUUUGUUGGUUGAUUAAUGAUUGAGAUAGGAUAACAGGUGGAUAGUCUUAUACAUAGACGAGACGAUGUCGGAUUUUCGAUAAGGAUUUAUAUGAUAAUUGAUUGGUGAUAUGUUAUGUGGAAUAUGAUUGACUAUAUGUUAGAGUCAAAGCAUGCUUAUGUGUUACGUGGUAUCUGAUAAGUUUAAAGGGGUAUAUAAGUGGGUAUCGAUAUACGUGAUAUGUAUAUGCGAUAUAUUGUUUAGUGACUAUAGUAUUAUCUUAUUCUCGUAAAGGAUUUGGACGAGACGUGUACGCUCGAAGACGUCAGAAAGUCGGAAUGGUAUUGCAAAGCGAAUAAGGGAUGAAUCGAGUAAGCGAAGCGAUGUGGCGAAUAGAGUAUAGCUAGAGAUGGUCUAGAGAUUACGAGAUGCAUAGAUUGUGAAAGUUGAAAGAUGAGAAUGAGCUGUGAGACGGGAGUCAGAUUUAAGGCAAGUAUCCUACACCCUGCUUUUGGAUAUAUUGCAUAUUCUGAUCCAUUCUUUUCUAUAUGUGUUGCAAGUAUCCUAAACCUUUCUCUUGGAUAUAUUGCAAAUAUUCUGAUCCAUUCCUUUGGUAUAUGUUUCAAGUAUUCAUACCUUUCUUUUCAAUGUUCGAAAGUGCGAGUAUUCUGACCCAUUCUUUCUAAUCUUCAAGUUUCUAAAGAAUUUCCGUUUUACAAAUUAAUUCGAAGUUCAGAUUGUCAUUGAAGCAUGUGUUGCUCAGUGAUAGUUAGAGCUUUGAAUGAAUUGGGAUCUUCUUGAUUAUUCAACCCGCCAUUGUCAUGCUGGUUUAGCAGGCUAAAUUCAGUUGCUUAGCCGAUAAUGGAGGAUACUGA